ensembl:lncRNA
GUUAAAAGCUAUUCAGAGAGACUGGGCAUUAUUAUCCUUAAAACGAUCGAAGUGGUUUUGUUUGGUAUUGGAUCUGAGGUGUUUGGAUUUUGAUCUCAGCUUUUCCCCCCCUCUUCCUUCACGACAAUGGAGGACAAACUAAGAGCAUUUGUGCUGCUAAAGAUACAUUGGCUCUGUAUACUCUUCAUCUACGGACAGUCUAGUGUAAAUUGCGGAAAAGGAACCAAAGAUUCUCUGACUGACACCAGCCAUCAUCCUCAGGACAAUCAGAGUGAUCAGAUGCAGAGAGCUGUGGUACUGGAGCAUCGAAGAGUUCCUCGAGAUGUAAAUGAUAGACUACAGAAGCUAGAGAUAAGGGUGGGGGAGAUGGCUCGCGUGCUGGAUAUGGUCAGAGCUCAGACUGACAAACUGUUGAUGCUGGAGAAUAGGAUGGAUGAGCUGGCACGUAAGCUGAAUGUGGCCACUAGAAAUGAUAGCCUGCAACAUCUGGAGGAUAUAUCAAGAGAGCUGGAUCGCAUGCAGAAAACAAUCAACACUCAGACUGACAACCUGUUGAGGCUGGAGAAUAGGAUGGACGAGCUGGCACGUACACUGAACAUGGCCAUUAAAAAUGAUAGCCUGCAACAUCUGGAGCAUAUAUCAAGAGAGCUGGAUCGUAUGCAGAAAACCGUCAAAGCUCAGACUGACAAACUGUUGAGGCUGGAGAAUAGGAUGGACGAGCUGGCACGUA